rnacentral:piRNA from 1 species
CAGGUGGCAUAUCUAAAAAUGGUGUCUUU